CCUACGGGGGGCAGCAGUCGAGAAUCAUUCACAAUGGGGGAAACUCUGAUGGUGCGACGCCGCGUGGGGGAAUGAAGGUCUUCGGAUUGUAAACCCCUGUCAUGUGGGAGCAAAUUAAAAAGAUAGUACCACUAGAGGAAGAGACGCCUAACUCUGUGCCAGCAGCCGCGGUAAUACAGAGGUCGCAAGCGUUGUUCGGUUUCACUGGGCGUAAAGGGUGCGUAGGCUGUUUCGUAAGUCAUGUGUGAAAGGCGCGGGCUCAACCGGGGAACGGCAAAUAAUACUGCGAGACUAGAGUAAUGGAGGGGGAACCGGAAUUCUCGGUGUAGCAGUGAAAUGCGUAGAUAUCGGGAGGAACACUCGUGGCGAAGGCGAGUUCCUGGACAUUAACUGACGCUGAGGCACGAAGGCCAGGGGAGCGAAAGGGAUUAGAUACCCCUGUAGUC
rnacentral:rRNA from 1 species